rnacentral:rRNA from 1 species
UACGGAGGGUGCAAGCGUUAUCCGGAUUCACUGGGUUUAAAGGGUGCGUAGGCGGGCAGGUAAGUUCAGAGGUGAAAUCUCCGGGGCUUAACCCGGAAACUGCCUUUGAUACUAUCUGUCUUGAAUAUGGGUGGAGGUAAGCGGGAAUAUGUCAUGUAGCGGUGAAAUGCUUAGAUAUGACAUAGAACACCAAUUGCGAAGGCAGCUUACUACACAACGAUUGACGCUGAGGCACGAAAGCGUGGGGAUCAAACAGG